rnacentral:rRNA from 1 species
ACUCCUACGGGAGGCAGCAGUGGGGAAUAUUGCACAAUGGGGGAAACCCUGAUGCAGCCAUGCCGCGUGUGUGAAGAAGGCCUUCGGGUUGUAAAGCACUUUCAGUAGGGAGGAAGGUAGUGUAGUUAACACCUGCAUUAUUUGACGUUACCUACAGAAGAAGCACCGGCUAACUCCGUGCCAGCAGCCGCGGUAAUACGGAGGGUGCGAGCGUUAAUCGGAAUUACUGGGCGUAAAGCGCAUGCAGGCGGCCUGUUAAGUCAGAUGUGAAAGCCCGGGGCUCAACCUCGGAAUUGCAUUUGAAACUGGCAGACUAGAGUACUGUAGAGGGGGGUAGAAUUUCAGGUGUAGCGGUGAAAUGCGUAGAGAUCUGAAGGAAUACCGGUGGCGAAGGCGGCCCCCUGGACAGAUACUGACACUCAGAUG